UUAGAUGCGCUUCCGUUUGGGCAUAAACUCACAUUCGCUUCCCUAAAUGAUGCUGCAUUCUCACCCCGCCUUGAGUAUAAAAAGGUUGCAUUCCAUCGACGAGAUCUGCUUUCGGGUUCAAAACCGAGGAGAGACUCAUCAGAUUAAGAGAGCAGCGAUCACCCUGAACUGUUGCUUUUGAACACAAUCUGUGGCAAUAAAUACUUACCUGUGUUUG